rnacentral:rRNA from 1 species
AUUGAACGCUGGCGGAAUGCUUUACACAUGCAAGUCGAACGGCAGCACGGGGGCAACCCUGGUGGCGAGUGGCGAACGGGUGAGUAAUACAUCGGAACGUGCCCAGUCGUGGGGGAUAACGUAGCGAAAGUUACGCUAAUACCGCAUACGAUCUACGGAUGAAAGCGGGGGACCGUAAGGCCUCGCGCGAUUGGAGCGGCCGAUGUCAGAUUAGGUAGUGGGUGAGGUAAAGGCUCACCAAGCCGACGAUCUGUAGCUGGUCUGAGAGGACGACCAGCCAGACUGGGACGGAGGACCGGCCCAGACUCCUACGGGAGGCAGCAGUGGGGAAUUUUGGACAAUGGGCGCAAGCCUGAUCCAGCCAUUCCGCGUGCAGGACGAAGGCCUUCGGGUUGUAAACUGCUUUUGUACGGAACGAAAAGGCUCUGGUUAAUACCUGGGGCCCAUGACGGUACCGUAAGAAUAAGCACCGGCUAACUACGUGCCAGCAGCCGCCGUAA